rnacentral:sRNA from 1 species
AUAAAUCUAGGCCCCAUACCCCUAGACUCCCUAGAUUUGAAGGUGAGUUACCCCCAUCACUCACCUUCUUUU